UACGUAGGGGGCAAGCGUUGUCCGGAUUUAUUGGGCGUAAAGAGCGUGUAGGCGGCUAGGUAGGUCCGUUGUGAAAACUCGAGGCUCAACCUCGAGACGUCGGUUGAAACCACCUGGCUAGAGUCCGGAAGAGGAGAGUGGAAUUCCCGGUGUAGCGGUGAAAUGCGCAGAUAUCGGGAAGAACACCCGUGGCGAAGGCGGCUCUCUGGGACGGUACUGACGCUGAGACGCGAAAGCGUGGGGAGCGAACAGG
rnacentral:rRNA from 1 species